AUAUCUGUACCCACAGUGUAUGGAAAAACUGGGUGGUAUCUGGGAGCUAUGUUCCAGAAGAUGGGAGGAGACUGUUGUAUGAGAUCACUGGCUAAGGAAGACAUUGCUCACUGGAGGAAUGGGCUCCUCACCAUUGUAGUUUCAUCUCCAUGAAGGCACAGGUUGGCAGUCCUAGAGCCCGGGGCCAAGGAACACUAAAUAAGUGGCAUGUGUGUCACUACUUCUUCCUUCUUUCCUCAUGGCAGGCAUUGCUAACUGAUCGUGAUGCUCUUUCCUGCCAGUAUUCUCAACGCAGCACUUCAUGCAACUCUAUAAGAAGGGUGGAAGUCUGUGUGUGAGACAGACCUACUUUAUAGCCUUGGGUCAGUCACCAUUUGGUUGUGCAGAAAGUAGCAGUGCUUCAGGACUGCUGGCUGCUGAAACCUCAGUGUGUGUGUGGGACAAGUAAUUCUACUGAGACACCAACUUUUCAGCCAGCUCUGUAUAGACACUGAAGAAGUUAACUAACAGCGCAAGUCAUGAUAGUCAUGGUAAUGGUAAAAAGUGAGAAAUAAACUGGUGGGCAGGUAGCUGAGUGACCACUUGGACAGCUUUUAGGAAAAAAACAUCUAAAGAAGGGAUUGAGUUCGGUUCCUAAAACUAGAAUCAGACAAAUUCUUACUGAGAACAUUUGUUAGUUACCUCCUAUCUCAGGCUAGAGGGAUCAUUCUAGUGACUGAGAUUAGGUCAUGUUCAAGAACAGUUUCACAUACUCCUGAUCCCCAUCUCCAGGUCCUUCCCAGGGGUAUAGACUCCAGGUGGUGGCAUCAGCAGUCUUUAGAGAUCACUUUAGACCUUCCUUUUUGAUAGGAGAGGAAGCAACCCGAUUCUCAGUGGUAGAUCUGAGGUUAGGAAGCAGGUCUCUCUCCUGACACCUGGCUCUGUGUUCUUUCCACUGUUUGGUCUUCCUCCUCAAUGCCAGCUCAGUGUUGUUUUUUUAAUACCGGCAGAGAAACCUGUUUUUUAUUGGAAGCUGUCAAAUUUCUUCUCUCCUUUCCUUUCACAGUCUUUAGAUAAAAGUUGUUUAUAUCUACUAUAUUGAGACAGGGGCUGAUAAAACAUCACGUUGAAAUGUUAAGUUGUUACCUUAUUACUGCAAUAAUGGGUUCUUUCAUAUUUUGGAAUAAAAAAAACCCAUCAUUUUCGAUGAAGAGAAGAAAAAUUUUGUUUUAGUGCCACCCCAAGUAUUUUGGAAUCUCUCUUGGGUCGAGUUGGGGCAUCUUUAUUUUGCAGGGGUACAUAUGAACUCAGGGAGAUGUUUGACCUUGUUACCUGCUCUUAUCCAUAAGAGUACCUGUUCCAGGAACUGCCAUCCACAGCUCCCCGCAGAACCUGGGGAGCAGACUGCCGUGUGCAUAAUCACCAGUGUGACAUCUAGCAUCAGGCAUCCUCACCACUGCCUUUGCAUUUGGGACUGUACCAAGUGGACAUUUAGGGAGGAAUGAAUCAAGUGGGAGAAAACUCAGAACCUGAACCAUUUCCUUAGAAGUCUUUCAUAUUAAUUUGUUAUUUACAAAAAAAAUAUGAGGUUUAUAUCUCAGUUAUGCAGAGCUGAGAACAAGUAUUGUCUAUUUAACAAGUAUUGUCAAAUAUCUACCAUGUGUGGAGAACACUGUGCUUGGUAUUGAGGGUACUAUAAAGUAGGUGUAAGAUUACAGUUUCCAUUCAACAGAAGCUUGAGUUCUCACUGAGGUGAUACUAUAGGUGACAUCCUCCCUUCUGCUCUUCCUUUCCUUCCACUGGGGGAUGAGCCAACACCCACUUAGUGCUUUAGGUCCUAUGAGAACCCAGAAUAAAAAUAAUUUCAUGGGCAUGGACCCUUUUCCUUCCAGGUGGUCAGCAGGGCUUCUGUUGACUGUGAUGCUUCUCUUGCACUGGGCCGGACCUCAGGCAAAGCAGGAAAGAACCAGUGCAUCCCAGCACAGUUGUUGAUGGGGGUGAAGAGCAGGGUGAUGGUCUUCUGAUUUCUAAAGUGCACAGUCAAAAGCUGAGGAAAACAAAAGCUUGCCAUGAGCAGUCUAGUAAGGGCAUCGGCCAGUCCUCAGCCCUGCCUGGGCAUCCACACCCCCUUGUUUAGACUAUAAUCUGUCUCUCUUUCUCUGCAGGCUACCGAUGGAGGUGAGAACACCACCACCUUCUGCCAAAGCUUGAUGCAUUGUUGCCCCAACUGGAGAGAUACAAAGAGGAAUGUAAGUGAGCCUUCAGGGUGGAGGGCUGGAGAGGGGAUGGGGUGGCUGACUGAGAGUCUUGAUGCAGGGGCCUCAUGUCCCAGAUGAAGCAGCCACAGAGAACACCAUGUUGCAGAGGGUAGGCUGGAGGGAGUUAAGUUAGCAGCAACUUCCACACUUGAGAUGUGCCCGAUCCUAUAGUAAAGAACCCCAAGUGUGAACAUUGUGUACCCAAGUGCUUGGUUUGGUGAAAGCUCAUGGUCAAGGGUGGCUCAGAGAUAGAGGAUUCUGGCUGGUCUCAUUUUCUAGGCACUACAGGAGAAGGGGCUGGAACAUCUAUGGUUACAAGCAAAAGCAAGGAGCCCUGCUUCUAGGAGGGCACAGAAGAAGACAUUAGGCUUGAGAAGGAAGAAGCUUAAAUUUCCUCUGGUAGUAAAACCCACACUUAAGAAUGGAAAAUGGAAACAUUGAGACACUCCUGGGUUACAUUUUCCCUUCCCUCCUUUUGUUAGCCCUCUCUUGUUUUUCUCUUUUUUCUUGUUUCCAUCUCUUUUCUACUCUCCUUUCUUCACUUCUUCCUUUCAUGUCCCUUUCCUUCCCUCCUUGAUUAUUCUUCUUUCUUAGCCUCUCAAUCCUUCCAUUCUUCUAGGAUUUGUUCACCUUGCUGAGCAUUUGCUGUUUUAGGUUCCAUGGUAUUAUAUUAGGUGCUGAUGUCCUCUGCUCCUCAUAUGAUUACAACCUAACUGUAGCUGACAUUGGUGGCUCCACCCAAUACUCAUUCUCCUCUUCUCCCUUGUGUAGUACACACAUCACAUUUUUUUUGGGGGGGGUCCAUAUUGCUUCCAACUAAAAGACCACAUUUACCAGUCUUUCUUGCUAGGAGUGGCCAGAUAAUCAAGGUAGGGCCAAUGAGAUGUUAAGUAGGGUAUUGUGUGGAACUCUGGGAAGGUUUCCCAUAGAAAGCUGACCCACUGAAAAUUACAUCCUUAUUGCCCUUCUAUCUUCCUCCUUCUGUGGCCUGAAGCAUAAGUGUGAUGGCUGGAGCUCCAUAAGCCAUCUUAGACCAUACAGCAAACUUGAAGAUGGAAACUAUACCAUAAGAAAAAUAGAAGACAGAAGGUGUCUGGGUUCAUGUUGACACUGUGUGUUUACUAUACCAGCCCUGGACUGAAUGUCUCCAGACUUUUUAUAUGUGAGAGAGAAAUAUAUUUUUAUAUGGUAUAAGCCAUUUUUAUUUCCAAUCUCUGUCCCUACAGCUUAAUUCAGUCUUAAAUGAUCCAUUAACCUUACCAAAACUUUUCCUAUGCUCCAUCAUUCCAUCCUGGGUCAUUGACCCUUCUGUCAUCACUAUCAGGUAGGACACAAAGGCUUUGAGGGGCAGUCUUGCAUUCUCACAUUAGAUAGCUCAUUAUAAGCAGUGGCACAUCCCUGACUCUGUUCUCCAUCAAAAAAAAAAAAAAAAAAAACCACCCAAAACCAUUCAGAGUCCCAGUGUGGGACUUCAGGGAGUUUAGAGUUAUAGCAGCUCAAAUUUUGAGUCCCUUGUACUCACAGCAGAGUGUCCUACAGAAAUGUCAUAUGGGGAAGCAAGAACAAUCUGUCUGAGGCUGUCAGCUGUCCAGGAGCCUGGACAAGGCAACAAUUUAUGAUGUGCCUUCAGUCACUGAAUGUAAGAGAGGGCUUCAUCAAGCGGAUUUUUCUGGCUCUGUUGUAUAUACAUUCACAAAGUAAUUUACAGUUCCCUUGGAAACAUGAAAUAGUUUGGGUCUAAAUUUAGAGUGUUCAUUCUGAGCUGUUGUAAUGAGCUCAAAGAAUAUUCAGAGUGAAGGAACAGAAAGAAGAGAUGUGGGACAAUUCACUCAUUAAGUCUAAGCACCAAUCUAUCCACUGGGUCACAGAGACUAGACUUGCUCCUGCAGGAGGUCCAUACCCCUCUCAGUCUUCAGAAUCAAGAGUCAGAGGGGAGGUGACCACUCCUUCACCUGCUCCAGGAACUCUGGUCCUAGCACUUUGUUUCUGGGUUUACUCCUUUGCCUUCUCUGUUGUGUGAGGCCCCACGACAUUUGCCAUCUGUUUUCUGUUAAAUUUUCUUGCAAAGUGUCGCAGUGUGUGGUCCCAGAGAACCAGCAUGUGAAACUCUCGGGAUGCAGCCAGAUUGAAUUUUCAAGAUUCAUCUACAUGCUGGUUUCCCAAGAAGGUUCUGGCAGCCUGUGGGGUAACACAUCCAUUUCCAGAGAGCAGGUGUGAGAUGAAGCCUUGGAAGAGGAUUGAAGACCCCAGAUAAGCUCUACCUUUUAUGAUGACAACAUAUGGGGUGUCAACUGUCCCUGAGAACACUGUUCCUUCUCUGGGUUUGAUAAUUUAUCUUCUCUUGCCUGAAUUGGAAUAUGAGUCCUCCAGCUGAUAUUUCACUGCUUCCUAUGUGGCUCCGUGCCAGCCGUCCUCCAUACCACCAGGGAGGUGAUCAAGCUCGGAUGGUACUCCAUUCCUCCCUGCACUGUAGCUGCUCACCGACACCCCUGCUGGGCCGUAACUGUGACCACAGGGCCAUUUGCCCAACAGUUGGCACAUUGCCUAUAUUAAUU
rnacentral:lncRNA from 1 species